UAAUCCUACGGGGCGCAGCAGUGGGGGAUAUUGCACAAUGGGGGAAACCCUGAUGCAGCGACGCCGCGUGAAUGAAGAAGUAUUUCGGUAUGUAAAUCUCUAUCAGCAGGGAAGAAAAAAGACGGUACCUGACUGAGAAGCCCCGGCUAACUACGUGCCAGCAGCCGCGGUAAUACGUAGGGGGCAAGCGUUAUCCGGAUUUACUGGGUGUAAAGGGAGCGUAGACGGCAAUACAAGUCGGAAGUGAAAUACCCGGGCUCAACCUGGGAAUUGCUUUG
rnacentral:rRNA from 1 species